GCAGCCAUGCCGCGUGUGUGAAGAAGGCCUUCGGGUUGUAAAGCACUUUCAGUCGUGAGGAAGGCGGUGUAGUUAAUAGCUGCAUCGUUUGACGUUAGCGACAGAAGAAGCACCGGCUAACUCCGUGCCAGCAGCCGCGGUAAUACGGAGGGUGCGAGCGUUAAUCGGAAUUACUGGGCGUAAAGCGCAUGCAGGUGGUUUGUUAAGUCAGAUGUGAAAGCCCGGGGCUCAACCUCGGAAUUGCAUUUGAAACUGGCAGACUAGAGUACUGUAGAGGGGGGUAGAAUUUCAGGUGUAGCGGUGAAAUGCGUAGAGAUCUGAAGGAAUACCGGUGGCGAAGGCGGCCCCCUGGACAGAUACUGACACUCAGAUGCGAAAGCGUGGGGAGCAAACAGGAUUAGAUACCC
rnacentral:rRNA from 1 species